rnacentral:rRNA from 1 species
AUUGAACGCUGGCGGCAGGCCUAACACAUGCAAGUCGAGCGGGGUUUUCGGACCUAGCGGCGGACGGGUGAGUAAUGCGUAGGAAGCUACCCGAUAGAGGGGGAUACCAGUUGGAAACGACUGUUAAUACCGCAUAAUGUCUACGGACCAAAGUGUGGGACCUUCGGGCCACAUGCUAUCGGAUGCGCCUACGUGGGAUUAGCUAGUUGGUGAGGUAAUGGCUCACCAAGGCGACGAUCUCUAGCUGGUUUGGGAGGAUGAUCAGCCACACUGGAACUGAGACACGGUCCAGACUCCUACGGGAGGCAGCAGUGGGGAAUAUUGGACAAUGGGCGCAAGCCUGAUCCAGCCAUGCCGCGUGUGUGAAGAAGGCCUUCGGGUUGUAAAGCACUUUCAGCGAGGAGGAUGGGGUGUGUGUUAAUAGUACACACCUUUGACGUUACUCGCAGAAGAAGCACCGGCUAACUCUGUGCCAGCCGCCGCCGUAAGAC